GUAACAGUCUGAGCACUUGUUUCUUGCUCCGACAGACCGCACUCUUGUGCUGUGACCAUGUUCACAUUUACUUUUGACUCCCAACAGGUCCAGAUAUUUGGAUAUCAGAUAUUCGAUGGAGAUCUUGGCACACUCAACACUUUAUCCUGCUGAAAAUUCUCUUUGUUGUCGAUUUGCGAGCGCCGAGCAAAAUGGAUUUGCCUCCGAUCGGGGGCUUUUGUCGGAGAAACAAUUGUUGGAGUGUGAAGAGAUCUGGGCUCGAGCGCGUCGUGUGAACUCGGCUUCAGCUGGGAACAAAUGAGCAACAUGACCGUCUUCUAGCGCUUCUAGGACUGUAACGUGCCCGAGUGCCAUGUUGCAUCUUUUCACGGUUGGUUAGCUUUUCUAAAGCGUCUCCAGCUUCUUACAACUGUGAUUCUCACCUCACACAACUUGAUUCGCCAUACAGGAAACUGUGCACGAACGUCUCAUUAAGCUCUGCUGUCGGGGGCUAAACAUAAUCACACAGGCUGCUAAAGUACGUUGUUUGGUACCAAUGUUGACUUCAUGGAUAUCCUGAGUCACUUACUGACAUCUGUCAUUUGUUUGUGAUACACAUCACAGCUCAGACUAAUGGGCUCCUUGAGCCACAGUUUGAACAAGAAAAUUAGAUUAGGACUCACCUCCCAUAUGAUUUGUUUGUUACAGGAAGCUUUUAUUAAAUUAGAAAGUCAAUAGUUCUAUUAGAAGAUCGACUUGAAAUCAAUCUACAUUUAUACACAACAUGACAAUGCAGUCACACAAAGAAAUCAUCACAAACACACACAUACAUUAAAACACAAAUAUGAUAACAAUUCAGUUAAUUAAAACCCUGAGAGGAAUGCAUGUCUCCAACUUCAGUUUAUUUUGCUUUUCAUCUCAGUCGAAAGAUGGAAUUUCAGUUCAGAGUUGGGACUCGGGAAAGGCAUUGAGGAAAAAUGUCCAGAAAAAAUGUCCUAUUGUGACAGCAGCUUUACAUUAUACCUGUUUUCUAUGAGAUAUUUCUAUCCAUCUAUCACAGUGUGCUGCCGUCUAUUCUUACAAGCAUUUGGCCAAAUGUUUAUUGUAACAAUAUUUUAUCCAUAGAUAUAACACAAUAAUAAAGGUAUACUGUAGGAGCAUUGUACUUCGAGUAAUUCCCAUUUGUGUAAAAUCAUGAAAUUCCAAGAAAAUUUACAUGCAAAAGACAUCUGUUUACUUUAAUUGAAAAAGCCCUCUAGCGGCCGCAGCGAUGCAGAAGGCAGCAAAGGAGGAAGUCCGGCGGUGAUAGAGUGACAAAGCCCACAUAGGGAGGAGGUGGACAGAAAUUUAUCAACACGGGGGACAGCUGUUUGUUUUCUGUUUCCAAUUCACAGUCAAUGUGGGUUUCUUUUGACCGUGACCACAAUCACAUGAUCAAAAUGAUGCAUUUUGAAACUGUGAU